rfam:Mycobacterium longobardum strain DSM 45394 contig_16, whole genome shotgun sequence.
AGGUUCACCGGGUCGAUCCCGCGGGUGACGAUGAGGUAGUCGCGCAGCGCGAUGCUGUGGCGGCCCUC